UACGUAGGGUGCGAGCGUUAAUCGGAAUUACUGGGCGUAAAGCGUGCGCAGGCGGUUUUGUAAGUCUGUCGUGAAAUCCCCGGGCUCAACCUGGGAAUUGCGAUGGAGACUGCAAGGCUAGAAUCUGGCAGAGGGGGGGGUAGAAUUCCACGUGUAGCAGUGAAAUGCGUAGAGAUGUGGAGGAACACCGAUGGCGAAGGCAGCCCCCUGGGUCAAGAUUGACGCUCAUGCACGAAAGCGUGGGGAGCAAACAGG
rnacentral:rRNA from 1 species